GGUUAGCCUAGUGGACAUGGCAUCUGCCUGGUAAGCGGAACACUGUGAGUUCGAUUCCCCACACACA